rnacentral:rRNA from 1 species
GACGAACGCUGGCGGCGUGCUUAACACAUGCAAGUCGAACGGAAAGGCCUCUUCGGAGGUACUCGAGUGGCGAACGGGUGAGUAACACGUGGGCAAUCUGCCCUGCACUUCGGGAUAAGCCUGGGAAACUGGGUCUAAUACCGGAUAGGACCUCAAGACGCAUGUCUUCUGGUGGAACCGAUAUCAAGCUUUUGCGGUGUGGGAUGGGCCCGCGGCCAUCAGCUUGUUGGUGGGGUGACGGCCUACCAAGGCGACGACGGGUAGCCGGCCUGAGAGGGUGUCCGGCCACACUGGGACUGAGAUACGGCCCAGACUCCUACGGGAGGCAGCAGUGGGGAAUAUUGCACAAUGGGCGCAAGCCUGAUGCAGCGACGCCGCGUGGGGGAUAAGCGCAUGACGGCCUUCGGGUUGUAAACCUCUUUCACCAUCGACGAAGGUCCGGGUUUUCUCGGAUUGACGGUAGGUGGAGAAGAAGCACCGGCCAACUACGUGCCAGCAGCCGCGGUAAUACGUAGGGUGCGAGCGUUGUCCGGAAUUACUGGGCGUAGAGAGAGCGACGAUCUCGUAGGUGGUUUGUCGCGUUGUUCGUGAAAUCUCACGGCUUAACUGUGAGCGUGCGGGCGAUACGGGCCCGAGAUUCGAAGACUAAAGUACUGCAGGGGAGACUGGAAUUCCUGGUGUAGCGGUGGAAUGCGCAGAUAUCAGGAGGAACACCGGUGGCGAAGGCGGGUCUCUGGGCAGUAACUGACGCUGAGGAGCGAAAGCGUGGGGAGCGAACAGGAUUAGAUACCCUCCGAGAUGGUAGUCCACGCCGUAAACGGUGGGUACUAGGUGUGGGUUUCCUUCCUUGGGAUCCGUGCCGUAGCUAACGCAUUAAGUACCCCGCCUGGGGAGUACGGCCGCAAGGCUAAAACUCAAAGGAAUUGACGGGGGCCCGCACAAGCGGCGGAGCAUGUGGAUUAAUUCGAUGCAACGCGAAGAACCUUACCUGGGUUUGACAUGCACAGGACGCGUCUACCAGGAGAUUAGAGAUA